rnacentral:lncRNA from 10 species
AACACCACCUGCCAACAUUCAGCCUCCUCUGCCCAUCAGCCUUGCUGACACAGGGAGUGGAGAUUUGUGUAGAGAAAUGACUCAUUCAAAUAUGACUUAAUCUAAACCGUAAGUGUAUGAUUUAUUAAUGUGCCACCAGGCCUUACACCAAGAGAGCCAUUCCAGAGAAAAGUCCUUUUUCUCCUGAGAACAGUGCCAGCAGCUGGCUUCGUGACAUUCUGGAAGCCCCGUGCAAUGCUGUCAGGAGCAUAGGGAUUUUACUUUAUCUCCCUUGCUUAUGCUCCACAUAACUGAAAUAUCUCACUGGAAGCUGCAGCAGUGCUGGCCCCUUGCACAGCCAUAUGUGACCACUGCAGAACAAUCAGUUGGAGAGACAGUUUGGACUACAUGGAGGGUGGAGAUAAGGACAAAGUGAAGAAUACACAGGAACCAGUGCCUCCUCCUGGAACUAUGCAACUCCAAGCUGCUUCCAUCAGCUGCUAGGUCCAGUAGGGAGGGACCUACUGAGAGAAGGUGCCUGCUUCCCUUUCCGCUGUGAUUGUAAGUUUCCUGAGGCCUCCUCAGCCAUGUGGAACUGUGAGUCAAUGAAACCUGUUUCCUUUAUAAAUUACUCAGUCUCUGGUAUUCCUUUAUAGCAGUGUGAAAAUGGACUAAUAUACUUGCCCUUCAUCCCAACGAUGGAUUUAAGACUAGAGACAUUUCAAAUAGUAGGUUUUUUGCCAAAUGCCUUUCGCUGUAGAAAUUCUAUACAUGGCCUUUGUCUGUUACACUGGAAGUCCUGCCACUUCUUAGAUGGUGGAGAUUAAAACAGCGAUUUCUUGUGGUGGUGGCGGGGCUGGGGUUGGGAACAUUGAGGAUAAGGUGGGAGCUGCCCAUCUCAGACACUACUGAGAUAGUGGGAUGGGCCACAUAAAUGUCUAUGGAAGAGAUGCCUUUGCCAUACAAUUCCUUCAACAAAUACUCAUUGAUCACACACCAUAUCUGGGGGUGUAGCUGAGAACAAAACAAAGCUCCUGUUUUGAGGAGCUUUAGGCUGUAGAGAAAACAGAAAAUAAACAAGCAAGCAAAUGGAUGUUUUUAAGUGGCAAAAGUGCUAUAAAGGAAACAAGUAGUGGGAUGAGAUGAGGGGAGGAGAACUUCAGGUAAGGUGGCAUCAGAGCAGGAAGCUGAACUGAGGGUGAGUGAGCUGAGCUCAACAGAAAGGACUGUUGGACUGAGCCAGCCACAUGGAGAUCUGGAGAAGGGAAGAGGGCACUACCAUUUUGUUUUUGUUUUUUAUUGGAUUUAAGACGUCACUAUUGUACCUCUAAAAGAAAAAAAAAAACUGUAAUUAUAAUUGUAAAUUACAAAAUUGAUUGUAAAACACAUUUUGAUAACAAUGAAUUAAAAUAUGUUAAAUUACAUGCCUUAGCAUCAAUAUAUUAGUUCAAAAGCCCAGAAGUGUUAAACAAGCUUAGUGCUUAUCUAAGCAACUGAAAAGAAUCUGAUAUGUUUAUAGUUGGUGAAUGACAGAGAAAAAGAUAUGAGGUUUCAGGGGGGCAAAAGGAUAAAUCUUGAGGUCUUAGUUUAAUUAAAAACGGGUGAUGAUACCAUUUACUGAGAUAGGAGAGAUUUCAGGUUGCCAAGAUGUCAAUUUCAGACAUAUUUUAUAUAUGUUAAGUGACAAUUAAGAGAAGGAGGGUUAAAAGGAGACUUAAGAUUCAGUGAAAACUCAAGGUUUAUGAAGACUUUUGCUCCAUAUCCAUCAGGAAACCAGAAAUCCCUGAAAUUAAUAGCUGAAUAAAUAGAAUAAGGUCAACAUUAUUUUUAACACAUAUUUUUAUGUCAUAUGCAUACUAUGUCACCAUAAUCAGUAAACUGUUAAAGUGCCAGAAAAUGCUUCUACAUCAUUUUCAUUCUGACAGGAAGUAGAUAGAAAUGGCAUGUAUCUACGAAGCCAAGUUCUUUCAAAAUUUACAGCUUAAUUUCUCCAAUUGUUUAGAGUGAUAAAUUUUUCACUGAGGCCAUUGACCAGCACAAUAAUUGUGUCUACACAGCAUGUUUAUAUCAAAUACCAUUGCAUCUGUUAUGUCCUGUUCAUGCUGUGACCUUCCCAGAAGGCAGUUAGGGAUUGAAACUAGUACGCACAAUAGUGUAGAUCAGAAAACUGAUGUCAGGCUCUAGUGACAUGUGUAGGUACUGGCAGAACUGGAAUUAGAACCAGAUUUCUACAGUUGCACCCCUGGUUCUUUGCUCCAAAUGCUAAAGCCCUUGGUUAUUUGAUUUUCCUGUUGUCUUUAUCCUAUCCCCAGGCUCUAUUUGGGUUUCUGUAGUGAAAUUAAGGAUAACCUCAUCUGCAUGCUGUACUUUCUUAAAUAGAUUUUUCUAAUCUCCCAUACUCCCACAACCAUAAAUGACAAAAUACAAGCAUGCUUAGGAUCAUUGUGCCCCACAAUAAAAAAAGCUGUUGCUAUGUUUUGGAAACAGAUCAAUCUUGGUAUUUAAGUGUUGUUUGAACAAAGAUUAACUGAGCCUGUUCUCCUCCCCCAGGUACUCAGACCCAGAACAUACUGUUUUCACUCCAAGAGUCUGAAUGUCUCUUUUCUGAGAAAGAUGAAGAAAAAGUACUUUUUUCAUGAAUUUAAUACUCAUUAAAGUCAAUAGUCGGAAAGCCUGGCUAAUUAGCAGACUUCUUCAGAGGACUUUAAAUAAUAUAGUUACUGUAUUUUUAUUAUAUUGAAAUCUCCAAAUAUAUAAAGUUAGAAUCUUCAAGGUGGGAGGAAGAGGAGAAAUUGGAUUUCUCUAAGCUCCCUAGUGAUUCUGAUGAUGACUCAUUUGGGGAAGUGCAGCAUUGAAUGGCCCUUCUAAAAUGAGGACAGCUAUUUUUUGGACUAAGCACCCCUCCCGACUCUCCCCAUUCCUCAUCCUCUCAGAGACUUCUCUCUCUCAGAUUGCCCCAUCUGUCUCAUGUAUUAUAAUCACUUCCCCUCUACUGGUUUCUUCUCAUACGUUUAACUUGUUCAAGUGCCUUCCAUCUUUAAAAACAGUCAAGGCACAGCCCUUGAUUUAACCAUAGGAAGCCCGCUCCCCACCACCCUGCCAUCAGCUCUCUUCUUCCUGUGUAGUGAGCACUGCUUCUUUGAGCUUCUGAAAGCUGUAGUCACUGCCUCUUGCUGGUAACUGAAAGCACAUUUCUAAGUUCGCAUAUUCCCUGACUUCUUGACAGCACUCAUGACUCGCCAUCUCCUUUUCUGGAACACUGUUUGCUUGGCUUUCACAAUAUCAUGCUUUUCUAGUUCUUUUUCCUGUUUUGGACACUGCUUUACAGAGAAUUAACAUUCCUCUUUUUCCCGCUGACCCUGAAUCAAGAAAGAAUCAUGUUUCUUUCUUUAUUUUUUAUAUCUUAACUUUUGAGGGGUAGAUUUUCAAGCAUACAUAAAAGUGAAGAGAACAGGAUAAUGAACUAGGUGUACACAUGACUGCAUCUUAUCAGUGCAAUACACACUCAUAUUACUUUUUCUAUACUUCAUCCAUUUUCUCCCUGCUCCCUGACUUGGAUCAAAUCCCAGACAUUACAUUAUUUAACCUGCAAAUAUUUCAUCAUAUAUAUGUGGGAAUAUAUAGAUCUCUAUCACUAUAUAUAGUGAGAAUUUCUUUCAAAGAAAAGAUAAUCACAAUAUUAUAAUCUCAUCAAAUGUAGUUGUUAUAAUUCCUUAAUGUCAGUCUAAUAACAAUCCUGUUUUCACAAUUUCUUCUCUUGUAGAUUUUUAAAAAUUAAUUUUGUUGAAUUGAAAUCUAAAUAAGAUACAGAGAUAAAGAUUCAUUGACAUGUCCCUUAAGUAUUUUAGUUUAUAGGCUGUCCUACUAUAUUCCCUGCCUCUUCUUGCAUUUUAUCUUGAUUCAGUUGAAAACUCUGGGUCAUUUGUCUUAUAAAGUUCAUGGGGUCUGCAAUUUGGUGAAGGUGUCCUUUUGGCAUUAUUUAACAUGCGUCUCUGUUCCUUGUAUUUUCUAGAAAUUAUUGGUUAUAUCUAGAGGUUUGAUCAGAUUUAGGUGAAAUUAUAAAAAGAUUCCGUCAUAGGUGAUUUUGUGAAGUUCCAUCAGAAGGUACCCAUCUGGUUUUCUCUCCUUUUGUGAUGCUAGCAGCCACUGAAUAUGGUAAUCUACUCCAAUCAUUAACUAAAUUUCUUUUCUGGAAUUAUUCCAAAAGAGAAACUUUUUUCAUCAUGCAUUUGGUUGUCCUGAGGUAUGAUUGUAUAGGAAAAACAGGAUAACCUACUGAUACUUUCUGUUUAAACUAGUAUUCAAAAUAAUAAAAGUAGUCCCCUAGUAUUAUCUAAAGAUUUCAAAAGACUUUUAAAAAAAUUAUUGAUGAUUUUAUGAGCUCAGGGAUUAAACAUAGUCAAUCUGUUUCAAUCCCUUGCAGUUAUUCCAAUUAAUAAUCAAAUUUUCCUGCCUUUGGCUUGCGGCAGCGUAUUCAUGUUGAAUUCUGGGUCACUUUGACAUGACUCCAGUUGUCUUUGAUGGUAUCCUUUUUGUGACAAAAUGUCCCAGGAUUAUAAUUUCCUGUCCCAUACUGGGAAACAGCCAGUUCUCCAAAGAGCUCUGGAACCAUUCAGUGAGAAAUGUAUUUAGAUGCAACAUUCUGGGUGCUAAGCAUGCCCAUUAACCUGAUCAAUCUCACGUCUUUCCUUUCUUUCAGCAUUGCCAGAAAACUCAUUUCUCAGUGACACCAUUGUAAUUACUCAUUUGAUUAUCCCGCAAUACACAUAUAAGAGUCUCAGGAAAACAGUACCAUCAGCAUUAUAUGGUAAUAUCUACAAGCACUUUAAUAUUUUCUUAUUGGGGGUACACUUUUUUCCAUAGAGAAUAUUUUACUAGGUAAGAACAAUAAUAUUGAUAUGUUUUAAUUUUUCUUGAAGUGGUUCUUCUGUAUGAGGUUAUAUCACCAAGUAGAUAUACAGUUAUAAUGUUUGAUUAUUACACAUUGCUUUUCUUAAAAUUUAAUUUUGUUUUAAAGCUAUUAAAAUCAGGUUUCUUAAAGAAAGAUCCUCAUUCUAUCUGGAUCAAAAUCACUUUCAGAGCUAAUUAAAAAUGUGGUGUCCUGGACUCACGAAGCCAGAAUUGCUGAGGAGAUAGCCCGAGAAUCUGAAUUUUUAGCAGACAUUUUUUUAGGUACCUUACCCGCAGGAUCAUUUCUGUGAAUAUCCAUGAGGUGAAAAAGUCUGGGAAACACUGUCCUAGACAGGAAACGCCACGAAGUGUCUGGAUCAAAGAACAGACUAUUGCUCACAGAGCACCUUCAUAGCAUUGUUCCUCAUGCCCCCGUUGCCCAAGGGGAUGGCAGGUUGAGGACCAGAUGUACUUGCAUGUUCAGGGGAUGCAGCACAGAAGAGGAACUCCAAAAUUAUUAUUAUUAUUGUUAUUAUUAUUAUUUUUGAGAUGGAGUCUCGCUCUGUCGCCCAGCCUGGAGUGCAGUGGCGUGAUCUCGGCUCACUGCAAGCUCCGCCUCCCGGGUUCACGCCAUUCUCCUGCCUCAGCCUCCCGAGUAGCUGGGACUACAGGCACGCACCGCCACGCCCUGUUAAUUUUUUUUGUAUUUUUUUUUAGUAGAGACAGGGUUUCACCGUGUUAGCCAGGAUGGUCUUGAUCUCCUGACCUCGUGAUCCACCCGCCUCGGCCUCCCAAAGUGCUGGGAUUACAGGCGUGAGCCACCGCGCCCGGCCGAACUCCAAAAUUAUUAAACUCUGAGCGUCUGCAGGUGACUGACACAUCUGCGCUUCCUUUCUUCCAGGGUGUGGGGAAGAGCGAGAAAAAGAUUUCCGCUCUGGAAGGUAAACAAAUACUCUCUGGAGAGAGAAGAGGAAUGUCCCUAGCAGAUGUCUCCAGAGAAGACAAGACUUUAAAUUCCGCCAGGGAAAUAUACAAUGUCUAACUUCUAAGGCACAUUUGCCAUUCAAUCAUGCUUUAACCCACGUUGCCAGAAAUUUUUGCUCACUAGGUUUUGACUGUACAGGAAUGUGAAAAUAUUCAUGAAGAGUUGUUUUCCAAUGCUAAAGAAUUGAUGUGUUUUAACAGUUGAAUUAAUUGUAUUGAUUAUGAUCACACCUACUUUUUAUAUAUCUUCAUUUCUAACGUUUCUGUACAAUCCUGCCUUUCCACCUGAUAUAGUUAGGCCUUGUGUCAUCAACCAAAUCUCAUCUUGAAUUGUAAUCGCCAUAAUCCCCACGUAUUUAGGGAGAGACCUGGAGGGAGGUGUUUGGAUCAUGGGGGCGGUUUCCCGCAUGCUGUUCUCAUGACCAUGAGAGUAAGUUCUCAAGAGAUCUGAUGGUUUUAUAAGCGUCUGUCAUUUCCACUGCUUGCACUUCUGUGUCCUGCCACCUUGUGAAGAAGGACGUGGUUGCUUCCCCUUCCACCAUGAUUGUGUUUCCUGAGGCCUCCCCAGCCUUGCAGAGCUGUGAGUCAAUUAAACCUCUUUCCUUUAUAAAUUACUCAGUCUCUGUAUUCCUCUGCAGCAGUGUGAGAACAGACUAAUACAUCACCACUUUAUUUACUUUACUCUCUCCCCAUACCGAGGUUUUCUACAUUUUCUUUCUAGGUCUCUACAGUUUCUGCAAAGAUCCUUUAUGGAACUCUUAGGGAAGCUGGGAUGUAUAAUAAAUAAAGGGCUCUUUUCUUUGAGUCCCACACCCAUUUUCUGUGUAUAAAAAUCUUCAACUCCACUUUUGUCUGUUCUAUUUAAAUGUGUGCACAUUUCCUUCUAAUGUUGUAUAUGAAAAAGAGACACCUCUUAGCAGUCUUUCAUAGAGCAAAAUUUUUUACUUUGAUAAAAUCUAAUUUAUCAAUAUUUUUAAAUUUUAUGGAUCAAUCAUGCUUUUGAGGUUGAAUUUAAGAAUGCUUUGCCUAGCCCUAGAUCCCAAGUAUCUUUUAAAAAUUAUUUUUCUAAAUGCAUUAUUUAUGUUUUACACUUAAGUCUAUAAUCCAUUUUGAGUCCAUGUGUAAGAUUUAGGUUAAGGUCAAGAUUUAUCUGUUUUUGUUGUUUUCUCUAUAAAUGUCAAUUGCUCCAGCACUAUUUGUUUAAAAGCCAAUCUUUCCUCCGCUGAGUUCUUCCUAUAAGUUUGUCAAAAGUCAAUUUGGCAUCUUUGUAUAAGUUUAUUUCUGGAUUCUCUAUUCUGUUUUAUUGAUCACUGCAUCUAUCCCUCUUGAUUAGCUAGAUAAUAAAUCCUACAAUAAGGUAGAAUUCUUCCCACUUUAUUCAUAUUCAAAAUAUUUUAAAGCUAUUCUAGUUUCUUUUUAUUUCCAUAUAUAUUUUAGGAUAAUCUUAUCUAUAUUUACAACAUAUGUUGCUAGGAUUUUGAUAGAAUUUGUUUUAAAUUUGUGUAUCAAUGUAGGGAAGACCUGACAUCUUUACUAUUACGUUGAUCUUCCAAUCAAUGAAUAUGGUAUAUCUCUCAGUUUAUAGCUAUUGUCUUUAAUUUAUUUCAUCAUGGUUUUUAGUUUUCAGCAGAGAAGCUUUAUACAUGUUUUGUUAUACAUGUAUAACAAAAGAAGCCUUAUACACUGACAUUUUAUAUUUUGAACAAUUGUAAAUGGUAUUGUUUAAAAAUUUUGUUGUCUAUGAUAGAAAUAAAAUUGAUUUUUGUAGGUUUAUCUUGUAACCUAUGACUUGCUGAGCUCGCUCAUUAGUUUUUUUAUUGUGAUAAAAUAUACAUGAGAUAAAUUUCAUCAUUAUAAUCAUUAAGUUUAGACAUCAAUUGCAUUAAGUACAUAAAUGCCUUAUGCAACCAUCAUCUCUAUCCAUCUCCAGACCCUUUGCAUCACCCUAAAAUGAAACUCUGUGCCCAUUAAACAAUAACUCCCCAUUCUGCCCUCACCCCAGCCCUUGGUAAUUACCAUCCUACCUUUUAUCUCUAUAAAUUUAACCAUCCCAGGUAACUCAUAUAAGUGGAAUCAUGCAGUGUUUGUCCUUUUGUAACUGGUUUAUUUCACUUAGCAUGAUGUCUUCAAGGUUUGCCUAUGUCAUAGCAUGUGUCAGAAUUUCAUCCCUUUUUAAACUUAAAUAAUAUUCCACUGUAGGCAUAUGCCACAUUUUGUUUAUUUGUUCAUCUGUUGAUGGGCAUUUGGGUUGUUUCCACCUUUUGGCUACUGUGAAUAAUGCUGCUGUGAUCAUGGGUAUGCAACUGUCUCCUGGAGUCCCUGCUAUCAAUUCUUGUGGGUAUAUACCCAGAAGUGGAAUUGUUGCAACAUAUAGUAAUUCUAUGUUUAAUUUUUUGAGGACCUGCCAUAAUGUUUUCCACAGUAGCUACAUUGUCUUAUAUUCCCAUUAAGAGUUCCAAUUUCCUCACAUCUUCACCAAUACUUAUUGUUUUCUGUUUUUUUAAAUAAUAGCCAUCAUAAUAAAAGUAACAUGGUAUCUCAUUGUGGUUUUAACUGCAUUUCCCUUUUUACUGGAUUGUUUGUAAUAUUGCUGUAAUUGAGUUGUAGGAGUUUUUAAAUAUGUUCUGAAUAAUUAAUUUCUUAUCAGAUAUGUCAUUUGCAAAUAUUUUCUGCCAUUCUCUGGGUUGUCAUUUCACUCUCUUGAUAGUGUCCUUUGAUGCACAGAAGUUUUGAAAUUUGAUAAAGUUUAAUUUGCGUAUGUAUUUAUUUUGUUGCUUAUGCUUUUGGUGUCAUAUCCAAGAAAUUAUUGCCAAAUUCAGUGUCAUGAAGAUUUUCCCCUGUGUUUUCCUCUAAGAGUAUUAUAGUUUUAACUCUUGCACUUAGAUUGAUCCGCUUUGAGUUAAUUUUAGUAUAUGGGGUAAGACAAGGGCUCAAAUUUGUUCUUUUGUUUGAAGAUUCUAGGUCAUUUGUGAUCUUUAGGAUUUUCUAUGUAGACAUUAAUGUCAUCUUCAAAUAUGAACAGUUUAUUUCUUCCUUUUGUAUAUGUAUGAAUUUACUUUCCUUUUCUUGCCUUAUUGCACUGGCUAGAGUUUUCAGUACUAUGAUGAAUAAAAUCAGUGAGAGCAGACACCCUUGCUUUGUUUCUAAUCUUAGGAGGAAAGCUUUCAGUCUUUCAUCAUUAGGUAUACUGUUAGUUGUAGGCUUAUUAUAGAUGCUCUUUAUCAGGUUGAGGCAGUUUCCUCCUUGGUUAAGACUUUCUAUUUUUCAUUUUCAGUUAUGACCAGGCAUGUUCAUAACUGCUCAUCAAAACUUUGAAUUAGUGGCUGCUUUAACAUCCUUCUCAGACAAUUCUAACAUCUGUUUUGUUGGUGGUGGCAUCUAUCAAUUGUCUUUUUCAUUCUGUUUGAGAUCUUCCUUGCGUUUGGUAUGAUUUUUUUAAAUAUUAUGUCAUGAAACUGCAUCUUAUUUAAAUCUUCUGUUUUAGUUGGCUAUGUCUGACAUCACUUCCCCAGGGGAAGGUGUUGUUACUGCUAGUGGAGGGUGAGAAUUAUGGCUCUCCACUGACAUUGUGGUGGGAUUGGUCCCAUUACCACUGGGCAGGGUUGAAAGUCCUGACUUUCUGCUAGGCCUUCUCUGACUUCAUCGCAGCAGGAGGAAAAGAUGCCUCUGGAGUUGAAGUCAGGUUGCACUGACACUGUGUGUGUAUGGAGGUAGGCUGGGGUGAAAGUGGAGACUCAUUACCACAUGGUGAGUAGUUUCCAGCUCUCUAUUUGGCCUUCUCUGAUACCACCCAGACAGGGACAUUGGGGAUACCUCAUUACAGCCUAGUGAGGGUCAAACUCUAGGCUCCCCACUCAGUCUUUGCUAUCAUGGACACUGUAGGACCAUAGUUUUUUCUGUGCUGUUUGCUUGAUGUGUCUUCCUUGGACCCUGAGUUCCAUAGCUGGUCUGCAUUCCUCUCUCCACCUUUAAGACGUCUUCUUAUGUUUAUUUCAUAUUUAACAUCCAGGGUGGUAAUUAGAGGGAAGAAUAGAGGGAAAAGUACAGUUGCACUUUGUUGUUCAAAGAGCAGUUUUGAACUGCACAGACCCAUUUCUCUGAGCACACCCAGGGAUGAUUGUACUUGUAUAAAAUUUUUUUCCUGGAUGCAGAAUUCUCAAUUGACUGUGAAAGUUCAUAACAAAGAAAACAGUGGGGAAGACAAAUCUGGAAAUGAGGAAAAUAAAAAUUAAAUAGUGAGACCACCCAUGGAGCUUGUGGCAAAGCCUGAAUUGAAUCCGCUGUAUCUUAAGAUUGUGCCUCAUUCUAAAUUUAAGUCACCCUUCUCAUUAUGAAAGUGUCACAACUUCUCAGUAGGUGAGGAGACAGUCUAAAUUUGAGAAAAGAAAGUUACAACAAAGGUUUUGAGCAAGCUGCUAAGUGGAUUUAUUCAUGUUUGAGAAAUCAAAUAUAUGGUUAAUGAGCUCUUUAACUAGAAGCCAACACUAGGGAGGAGUAGACAGAAGUCACGGGGAGGGAGCCCCCGGACAUUUCAAAAGACUUUGCCCUGCAACAUCUCCUCCACAUUUAAGCUUUUAGGUUAUUGUAGCCACAUCACAAGCAUGUUACCUACCCAGAUAUUGUCUGCGCAUCAUUCCCAAAAGCUUCCCUGGGUCUUCAUAAUAUUAAUGAGAUUCUCCCCCAGGUUAGACCCCUUUGGCUUGAGUCAGAAACAGAAUUAAUCCGGGGGACAAUCCAGCAGCACCCAUCUCUGGGUUGCAGAAAUAUCUGAGGUGACCAGGCAGUGUUUGGAGUCCCCUCAGUUAGCUAACAAAGUGAGUUCACAGCUUCCAAGACCCCAGGCUUUCCAGGCUAAUAAAGAGCUGAGGUUAUAGGCUCUCCUUAUCAAACGCUCUUUGGCAGCUGCCAUAACCAUUCCAAGUCUAGUCCUAGAAUAGAAAUGACGCGGUUUCAGGAGCUGACAGAUGGAACUUUAAGCCUUCCUUCCUGCCACAUCUGAAGUUCUUUUUUAAAAAAAUAGAAAACCAUGACAAUAAACACUCCUUGAAUGCCCUGUGGAAAAGUGUACUCCUCAGAAUUCACUAAAGUGGGGUGAAGCAGUGGGUUGUGGUGCUGAGAAAACAUCUCUUCCCCUCGGCAGUAUAUUGGAAUCUCAUAGAAACUUCUGUGGCUGGGAAGCAAACAUGCUCUCUGCCCCAUUGCUCUUAUUCAUCUUUAGACCUGAUAAUACAGUUUGAACUUCAAGUUGCACUUUAAAUGGCAUGCAUUUUUA